GAAAAAUUUCAUUUGUGUUUUUGUUGUGACGUUAUACAUGUAUGAAAAAUCGCAAUUGAAAUUCAGGCAAUUAUGACGUUAUGAUGAUGUCAUGUAGGAAUGUAGUGCGUAGUUGUUGUCAUGCCAACACGGAUCUACGUCACUGCUUUAAAAAGUUUUGUUCAACAGUCAAAGUUAAGGAAAAGGUGAAUAAAGAGAAGAAAGGAGUUUUUCAGAUUCUACGAUCGGAAGUUUUUACAACUCCAUGUGUUGCGAUCCCUGGUCGGUCGGAUUGGUCCCUGUUUAACUUAUCAGGAAAUGUUCAUCGCAAUUGUAUUUUAUCAAAAAAACGUUUUCAACGAACGAAAAGAUGUUUUUUUACAAGUUUGAAUUGGAACAAUGUGGUUCCUGGGCUCGUGCAAGUAGUUUCCGGUCAAACUGAAGAUGAAAUAAAGAUUUACGGACCGAAAGGGACGUUCACGUUCAUACGAAACAUUAUUCCAAGUUUAAUGUCUUCCUACAAAGCAGAUCAAACGUUACAGAAACUUAAAGUAACAGAAUGCGAUGAUCAAACUAUUGAAGAAGAAGGAAUGAGAAUUAAAAUGAUGAGUUUGAAACCUAGUAAAGCCACUGCCGGUGAAGUGGUUUCGUAUAUUAUACAAAGGUCGUACAAACCAACUUUCUGUGUCGAGAAACUUUCAAAACUUUCCAUCCUACACCAAACUCCAACCUGUCUUGAGGAGAAAAUGUUGAUAAGAAAGUUUCAGAGCUUGUUCUUUAAAAAAAAGAUUUCGUUUCAUCCGUUUACAUCUGAGGUUAUUGAUCCAACGGAUUAUUAUUACGAUGGUGACGUAAUAUAUUCUCGUGUGGCUGUCGUUGAAUGCCCAACGUUGAAAUACUUUCAACAAGUUGUAAGAAACAAGGAGUUGGCGAAAUAUUAUUCGGAAACUUCAAUGUUAUGCGAGAUGGCCCACAUUACCCCGCAGUGGUUGUUCAUAUCGCCCCAAUACCAAGCGUGGAUGAAAAGAUUUGGUGAGUCGUGCGUUCAUAUUCCAGUUAACAGUGACCUCAAUGAAACACCGCAAAUCAGUUUGCCAGGUGUUGCACGUGAUGCUUUAAACAUUGUCAGUGAAACCUUUUUUCCGGUUUAUACCAACCAUUCAUCGCAAGUGGAAAUGUUUCAAUGUUUGGAUGCGGAUGAUAAAAACCUCUUUGUUCCUGAGGUGGCAAAGAUUGAACAAAUGGUGGAAAGAAUUGCAACAAUACCAACAAACGAAUCGCAGCGAACUCGAGUGAAACUUGUGGAUUUUAAUUCAAUGUCAGAAUAUCCACGUUUGGUGGUGUUGGGGAGUGGUGGCAAUAUGCCGCACAAGUACCGAGCCUUCCCCGCUUACUUGUUGCGUGUUGACCCCAACACCUCAAUCCUCAUGGACUGUGGAGACGGAACAUACACGCAGCUCUACCGACACUUUGGGGCGACAAACAUUAAAAAAAUCUUAAAAACGAUCAAAGUUAUCGUUCUCACACACCGACACAUCGAUCACUUCAUCGGGGUCGUUCAUUUGUUGAAGCAAAUCGCAUCCAGUGUUCCAAGGAAGCGGGACAAAGUAUCUAUAUUUGCACCAGGGAUGCUGAGAAACUUUUUAUUUGGGUUCAUACACCAGAAUGAUCACAGUUUGUUGGAGUACUUGUAUUUUAGCGCAAUUGAGAAGUAUCUAACAGACGACUAUUUGCAAAGUUAUGUUCGGCGUGUGUUGAACGUCGAGUCGCUCACGUUUGUUCCUGUGGUUCAUGGGGUCCGUACUUUUGGGUUGAGUUUGGUUGUUGGGGGGAGGAAGGUGGUUUAUUCAUCAGACACAGCUCCUAUGGUCCCUGGAUUGCUGGAAGAGGGGAGAGGGGCGGACCUUCUUAUUCAUGACUGCACGUACACACAACCUAAGGAUUUCCGGCUUGCUGAGCAUAACAUGCACUCAACACUAGAGGGGGCUAUACAAACAGCCGAAACAAUGGAAGCAAAAAGUUUGUUGUUGAAUCAUUUUGGGGUGAAAGAACCCAUGGUUCCCCCCAUCGAAGAAUCAACAGUUCCUUAUAACGGAACCAUCGUCACGGCGUACGACCACAUGGAAAUCCCAUUAAAUGAAACAAUUCAUGACUUUAAGCAAUUGUACCCAAGUUUUUACCAUGUGUUCCAAGAUACAAUGGCUAGAAACAGUGCAACUUGCGCUCUCGAUAAUGAUGAACAAAACUUUAAUGACGUUGACCUUAGUGAAUUAUUCAAUCAAUGAUUUUAAUUAUUUUAAUAUUGUGGUAAUUUCCCCCUUAUAUUGACAGGUGGUUUAGGAUGGCUGGGUCGGAAUACGACACAUUCGAUGACGAUGAAGCAAAGAAAGUUCAUGAUUCCGACAACGAGGAUACGGACGAUGCGAGCGAGACAGAUCGAGCGAAGCGCGAAGAAGCAACCGAGAUCAAGGAACAAAUUUAUCGGGAGAAACUCGCCCAGAUUAAACAGCAGGUGGCGCUGUUGCAUGCCGAGAACCAUCCCGAGUUUUGCCGCAAACAGAAGAAGUUGGAAACGAUUCAUAAAGAACGACAAAAACAACUUCAAGUUUAUCAUAAUUACCUUGUGGCCAAGGUGGAACAGGAACAUCGAUACGAACAAGAACUCGCCAUCGAAGAAUUUGAAGCAAA